AGCCCGGCUAGUCUCAGUGAGACCUUCCGCCGGCGGCCAUGGCGGAGACGGCGGAGGCUGCUCCACCCCCUGCCGGCGAUUGCCAACCUCCGGUGCCGUUGGCGACAGAGGCUAUCUAACUUAGUCGGCGCUCCCCUCGGCGAUGAUCCGCCCCUCCAAACCCGCCUGCCGCUAUUACUGGAGUGCUGGUUGGUCUUGUGGAUGCUAGAAGAAAUUGCUCUGAGCCUAUGGUUUAGAUCGAGGCAUGACAGUGUCACCUUUGCUUGACCCAGCCGCACAAGCUUCUAGCUUCGCCUGCUGCUGGAAGUUGUUCAGGGAUUCCUCUUCCGACGUGUGUGACAUUGCUUGGAAGUCCAGAUACUGGUUGCAGAGGGUGCCAGCAAGGUGAAGGGGGAUGGUGAUUUAUGCACAACGGAACGAAGAGGCUGCAAUUAGACAAUAGGAAAAUGAUUGAUUAAACUUUCAGUCAGCAUCAAGGACUGCAAUGCUGCCGCUAUUAUUUAACCGAUGGAAUGCGAAUCUAAUUGCCUCAUCAGCACGAAUGUUCCAUUUAUUGUUUCUAAAGAAUUUGUCAGUAUCCUGAA